UGCCUGUCGAUGUGUCUGACGAAUUCGAGCCCGACACUCCGGUUUCAGGUCGCCAACAUUCCUCUCCUCGAAGAUGCAUGGGCAUGCCGCCUGUCGAGCAGGUCGUGCUCUCAGCGCUGGGCCAGAAGGGCCUAGAUCCAGCCAGGUGGGUCAUGUUGUUGCAUUUAUUACUCCAGGCGUGAAUUAGAGGAGAACAUGAUGAAGCUGGCUCACAUAAACGAAAAGCUUAUUUACUAGGACCGUGACCUAGACAGGUUAUACCCACAGCAGGCUGCAAAAUUUAGGGCAUGAAUUACAUUGCAAGGUUUCGUUCAGGAUGAAUUAGAUUCAUUGAGUUGAAGGAGGACCAUCACGAGAAGUGGAAUUAUGAUUUUUGCUUGCAAACUGGAGGGAUAUAAUUUCUACCAUAGUUUGUUCGAUUGAAAGAAAGCAUGAAUGUCAACGUGAUGAUUGUAAUCAAACAAUUUUUAAUGUCCUGGGGCUCUGUUAGUUUGAUCCUUUUGUAACCAAACAAUUUGUAAUAUCUGUGGCAUCCAUCUUUCCCGUCCUGAUGAGUAAGAUACAUGCAACACUCGCUCAGCACUUAUAGAGCAUGGCACUUCCUUGUGAUGAUCUGGUGGUACA